AACUUGACCUCAAAUCAGGUAGGACUACCCCCCUGAACUUAAGCAUAU
rnacentral:rRNA from 1 species